GAUGAACGCUGGCGGCGUGCCUAAUACAUGCGAGUCGAGCGAACAGAUGAUAAGCUUUCUCCCCUGACGUUAGCGGCUGACGGGUGAGUGACACGUACAUCGCCUACCUAUAAUACUGGGAUAACUUCGGGAAAACAGUUCCAAUACUACAUCAUAUAAUCAACCGCAUAGUUCAAUAGUGCAUCACGGCUUUGCUGACACUUAUAGAUGGAUCCGCGCCGCAUUAGCUAGUUGGUAAGGUAACGGCUUACCAAGGCGACGUAGCGUAGCCGACCUGAGAGGAUGAUCGGCCACACUGGAACUGAGACACGGUCCAGACUCCUACGGGAGGCAGCAGUAGGGAAUAUUGGGCAAUGGGCGAAAGCUUGACGGAGCCACGCCGCGUGAGUGAUGAAGGUCUUCGGAUCGUAAAGCUCUGUUAUUGGGGAAGAAAAGAUGUGUGUGUAACUAUGGACGUCUUGACGGUACCUAAUGAAAAAGCCCCGGCUAACUUCGUG
rnacentral:rRNA from 1 species